GAUGAACGCUGGCGGCGUGCUUAACACAUGCAAGUCGAACGGAAAGGCCCAAGCUUGCUUGGGUGCUCGAGUGGCGAACGGGUGAGUAACACGUGGGUGAUCUGCCCUGCACUUUGGGAUAAGCCUGGGAAACUGGGUCUAAUACCGGAUAGGACCAUCGUUUAGUGUCGGUGGUGGAAAGUUUUUCGGUGUGGGAUGAGCUCGCGGCCUAUCAGCUUGUUGGUGGGGUAAUGGCCUACCAAGGCGUCGACGGGUAGCCGGCCUGAGAGGGUGUACGGCCACAUUGGGACUGAGAUACGGCCCAGACUCCUACGGGAGGCAGCAGUGGGGGAUAUUGCACAAUGGGCGCAAGCCUGAUGCAGCGACGCCGCGUGGGGGAUGACGGCCUUCGGGUUGUAAACUCCUUUCGCCAAGGACGAAGCGUUUUGUGACGGUACUUGGAGAAGAAGCACCGGCUAACUACGUG
rnacentral:rRNA from 1 species